CACCAGCAGCGGCAGCACACAACAAGAAGCAGGAGAAGAAGUAGAAAAGAAAGGGAGCAAGGCAGACCCACCAAGGGAGAGGCAAUCUGGAGCCAAAAAAAUUGCGGACACAAGAUUUGCGAGGCACCUCCCAGGGGAUAUUAAAUUGGCAGAAUAGAGCCGAGCUCGGGGCCGGGGCAAAAGAGCGAUGCCACACACACUUAUCUUAGCAGCGCUGGUGGUGCGAGACGACGAGCAGUGGUGAUUGAGAAAACAAAGACGAAACAAAGGGAAUGGGGGGUCGACGAAAAUACUAAACAAGUGAGCUUAUGGACUGGGAGGAGAGAGAGAGAGAGAGAGAGAGAGAAGAGGUGGCUUUAGACGACGAUGACGAUGAUCUCUGCUGUGCUGCGGCUGCGCUGCUCACUCUUGGCCUUGGUGGUGGGGUUCUUAGUAUGGGAUAGGUGAAGUGGUGGGUGGACCAGGGACGGCGCAUGGGGUCCCUCCAGUGAUCCAUUUACUACGCUCCCCCUCCCCGGCAUCACACUGCGGCUGGUCGUCCUCGAAUCUCAACUUCGCGGGAUCCAAAGUAGCUACAGUAGUGGCGAGCAAGCGGCCAAAACCACCAAAAGGAGGAGGUAAACAAGAGCUGGGAAAUGUUGGACUGGAUCUAACUAGUCGCGCAAAGCCCGGCUUUUACCGUCGUGCGCCACCAGUGUAAUUACAGCCCGCUCGUGAAUGGCCAUCCCGAGGCCGCGGCAGGGUGAGAUCCUAUGUUGUCACGCAAAAGAACUUACGCUCAUCGCGUCGUCAUCGUCGGCAUUAUUGAAGAUUGACCAGUAUAUGAUCCAUUCGAUUUGAUCGCAACCGUGGCCGUUGGAUCGCCCCCGCCCCAACGGCUGCCCGUGCCACGCGGGCUUCCCUCGCGAAAUUCCAAUCGUCUAGUUGUCGGCCGCCAGGGCGACAUAUACGGCAAUCCCGAGGCUGGCGGUAUUUACUGCCCAGGUAAAUACAUUGGCAUCGUAUGGGACCAAUCAUCAUACGCAUGGUUGUUUGGAGUAACAAACUUGUUUCCCAAAAGAAUGAAGAACCUACUUACUCACUCCUACCAAGUUUUAAAUUCAAUGAUCAAAAGAGUGUGGCUUAACAAACAACUUCUUUUAAACGUCUCUAGCUGUGGAUUUGGAAGU